rnacentral:rRNA from 1 species
UACGUAGGGUGCAAGCGUUGUCCGGAAUUAUUGGGCGUAAAGAGCUCGUAGGCGGUCUGUCGCGUCGGAUGUGAAAACUCGGGGCUUAACCCCGAGCCUGCAGUGGAUACGGGCAGACUAGAGGUAGGUAGGGGAGAAUGGAAUUCCCGGUGUAGCGGUGGAAUGCGCAGAUAUCAGGAGGAACACCGGUGGCGAAGGCGGUUCUCUGGGCCGAUACUGACGCUGAGGAGCGAAAGCGUGGGGAGCGAACAGG